rnacentral:rRNA from 1 species
GAAUGACGGGGACCCGCACAAGCGGUGGAGCAUGUGGUUUAAUUCGACGAUACGCGAAGAACCUUACCUGGCCUUGACAUACUAAAAAGCUUUAAGAGAUUAGAGUGUGCUAGCUUGCUAGAAUUUAGAUACAGGUGCUGCACGGCUGUCGUCAGCUCGUGUCGUGAGAUGUUGGGUUAAGUCCCGCAACGAGCGCAACCCUCGUGUUUAGUUGCUAACAGUUCGGCUGAGAACUCUAAACAGACUGCCUACGCAAGUAGGAGGAAGGUGAGGACGACGUCAAGUCAUCAUGGCCCUUACGGCCAGGGCUACACACGUGCUACAAUGGGGUAUACAAAGAGCAGCGAUACGGUGACGUGGAGCAAAUCUAGAAAAUGCCUCUCAGUUCGGAUUGUAGUCUGCAACUCGACUACAUGAAGUUGGAAUCGCUAGUAAUCGUAGAUCAGCAAUGCUACGGUGAAUACGUUCCCGGGCCUU